rnacentral:rRNA from 1 species
UACAGAGGUGGCAAGCGUUGUUCGGAAUUACUGGGCGUAAAGGGCGCGUAGGCGGUCCGAUAAGUCCUGUGUGAAAUCCCUCGGCUCAACUGAGGAACUGCACGGGAGACUGCCGGGCUUGAGUUCGGGAGAGGGAAGCGGAAUUCCGGGUGGUAGCGGUGAAAUGCGUAGAUAUCCGGAGGAACACCGGUGGCGAAGGCGGCUUCCUGGACCGACACUGACGCUGAGGCGCGAAGCUAGGGGAGCAAACGGG